UCACCCUCUGAUCUUCUUUCUUCAGCUCAUAACCGAGUUGAACUUUCAAAAAAGAGAGAGAGAGCCGAGAGUAACCCUUGGGAGAGACCGUGACUUUUCAACAUCUUCUUUUUCCGAUUUCUUUAAAUUCGUACUCCAAUAGAAAAUUUAAUUCAGUAAAAAUGUUUGUAUUUUCCUCCUUUACGUGUUGGUGUUAUUUUUGUCCGGUAGAAGUUGACGGUGACGUAGCUUCUCUUUCCUUUGAGUUCGGCUAACUGGAGUUCUAGGAAGCACAGAGGAUUUCUGACGCUUUCUCCUUCAGCAACCCAGUCAGAAAGCUUUUCCGGAGCUUUCGAUGAUUUUGAUUUCAUACAAAGUUGGCCAAACUCAAGGGGUAGAGGAGCUACGUCACCGUCGACUUCCACCGGACAAAUAUAACGCCAACACGUAGAGGAGGAAGAUACGAACACUUUUAUCGGAUUAGAUUUUUUAUUGGAGUUACGUAUCACAAGAAAUCGAAGCCG